rnacentral:rRNA from 1 species
UAGGGAAUCUUCGGCAAUGGACGAAAGUCUGAGCGAGCAACGCCGCGUGAGUGAAGAAGGUUUUCGGAUCGUAAAACUCUGUUGUUAGAGAAGAACAAGGACGUUAGUAACUGAACGUCCCCUGACGGUAUCUAACCAGAAAGCCACGGCUAACUACGUGCCAGCAGCCGCGGUAAUACGUAGGUGGCAAGCGUUGUCCGGAUUUAUUGGGCGUAAAGCGAGCGCAGGCGGUUUCUUAAGUCUGAUGUGAAAGCCCCCGGCUCAACCGGGGAGGGUCAUUGGAAACUGGGAGACUUGAGUGCAGAAGAGGAGAGUGGAAUUCCAUGUGUAGCGGUGAAAUGCGUAGAUAUAUGGAGGAACACCAGUGGCGAAGGCGGCUCUCUGGUCUGUAACUGACGCUGAGGCUCGAAAGCGUGGGGAGCAAACAGG